rnacentral:ncRNA from 1 species
UAGGUGGGAGUUGGCGAUCCCGCUGGGAUGGCCAUUACGCACGCAUUGGCCGCGGGCAUGGGCGGAGUACGUACCACCGGAGACCUGGUGGCGCGGAUGC